GGGGGGGGGGAACAACCCAAAAGACAGUGGAGCCACACCGGGAAACAAAAGAAAACAGCCACCGCGCCAUCGUCUUCGGCGCCGUCCUCCGCUGCACAGGUGUUCGAGGCAAUAUAGGAAGGGUGCUCUGCACUGCAUGAUUUCCUACAUGCUUCUUGAGUUGUGACAGGUGGAACACCAAGUGAAUCAAGGUUGAAGGAGGCAGAUCGAGCUCGUACGUAGGCCACUCUUCCUAGUUUUGUUACCACCUGGGAUUAAAGUAACACAUGGAUCGUUUACACCUUUCGAUAGCUUGCCUGAUUGGAAGAAUUCAUUCAUCAUAUCAUAUAAAUCAUAACAGAUCAAAUUCCAAACCUUUCUAAAAAAUUUAAAAUUGAAACCGUCUGGUCACUUGUGAUGUGGUCUUUCCAUUGAAACUGGUCUUUCCAGCCAAUAAGCUUUCUUUACACUUAUCUUCUUAUAGCCCACCUCUCCUAGUGAAGCUUACUUGUGAUGUGGUCUUGUAAACAAAACUAAGAAAAAAGAAGA